rnacentral:rRNA from 1 species
UACGGAGGAUCCGAGCGUUAUCCGGAUUUAUUGGGUUUAAAGGGUGCGCAGGCGGGGGAUUAAGUCGGCGGUGAAAUUUUGCAGCUCAACUGUAAAAGUGCCUUCGAAACUGGUUUCCUUGAGUGUAGAUGAAGUAGGCGGAAUUUGUGGUGUAGCGGUGAAAUGCUUAGAUAUCACGAGGAACUCCGAUUGCGCAGGCAGCUUACUAAACCACUACUGACGCUCAGGCACGAAGGCGUGGGGAUCAAACAGGAUUAGAUACCCCUGUAGUCCCU